GACGAACGCUGGCGGCGUGCUUAACACAUGCAAGUCGAACGGAAAGGCCUGCUUUCCCUUGUGGCUUGCGGGUACUCGAGUGGCGAACGGGUGAGUAACACGUGAGUGAUCUGCCCCCAACUUGGGUAUAAGCCUGGGAAACUGGGUCUAAUUCCCGAUAGGACUGCAGGGUGGUGCCUGUGGUGGAAAACGAUUUUCUAGUGGUUGGGGAUGAGCUCGCGGCCUAUCAGCUUGUUGGUGGGGUAAUGGCCUACCAAGGCGGCGACGGGUAGCCGGCCUGAGAGGGUGGACGGGCACAUGGGGACUGGGAUACGGCCCAGAGGGCGGCGGGAGGAGGGAGUGGGGGAUAAUGGACGAUGGGCGGAAGCCUGAUGCAGCGACGCGGGGUGGGGGAUGACGGACUUCGGGUUGUAAACUCCUGACGAGCGCGAGGAAGACACCUGGUUGGAAGGGUGGUGACGGUAGUGGUAGAAGAAGCACCGGCUAACUACGUG
rnacentral:rRNA from 1 species